rnacentral:rRNA from 1 species
GACGAACGCUGGCGGCGUGCUUAACACAUGCAAGUCGAACGGAAAGGCCCUGCUUUUGUGGUGUGCUCGAGUGGCGAACGGGUGAGUAACACGUGAGUAACCUGCCCUUGACUUUGGGAUAACUUCAGGAAACUGGGGCUAAUACCGGAUAGGAGCUCCUGCUGCAUGGUGGGGGUUGGAAAGUUUCGGCGGUGGGGGAUGGACUCGCGGCUUAUCAGCUUGUUGGUGGGGUAGUGGCUUACCAAGGCUUUGACGGGUAGCCGGCCUGAGAGGGUGACCGGCCACAUUGGGACUGAGAUACGGCCAAGACUCCUACGGGAGGCAGCAGUGGGGAAUAUUGCACAAUGGGCGGAAGCCUGAUGCAGCAACGCCGCGUGCGGGAUGACGGCCUUCGGGUUGUAAACCGCUUUCGCCUGUGACGAAGCGUGAGUGACGGUAAUGGGUAAAGAAGCACCGGCUAACUACGUG